rnacentral:rRNA from 1 species
GUCGAGCGACAGAUAAGGAGCUUGCUCCUUUGACGUUAGCGGCGGACGGGUGAGUAACACGUGGGUAACCUACCUAUAAGACUGGAAUAACUCCGGGAAACCGGGGCUAAUGCCGGAUAACAUUUAGAACCGCAUGGUUCUAAAGUGAAAGAUGGUUUUGCUAUCACUUAUAGAUGGACCCGCGCCGUAUUAGCUAGUUGGUAAGGUAACGGCUUACCAAGGCAACGAUACGUAGCCGACCUGAGAGGGUGAUCGGCCACACUGGAACUGAGACACGGUCCAGACUCCUACGGGAGGCAGCAGUAGGGAAUCUUCCGCAAUGGGCGAAAGCCUGACGGAGCAACGCCGCGUGAGUGAUGAAGGUCUUCGGAUCGUAAAACUCUGUUAUUAGGGAAGAACAAAUGUGUAAGUAACUAUGCACGUCUUGACGGUACCUAAUCAGAAAGCCACGGCUAACUACGUGCCAGCAGCCGCGGUAAUACGUAGGUGGCAAGCGUUAUCCGGAAUUAUUGGGCGUAAAGCGCGCGUAGGCGGUUUCUUAAGUCUGAUGUGAAAGCCCACGGCUCAACCGUGGAGGGUCAUUGGAAACUGGGAAACUUGAGUGCAGAAGAGGAAAGUGGAAUUCCAUGUGUAGCGGUGAAAUGCGCAGAGAUAUGGAGGAACACCAGUGGCGAAAGCGACUUUCUGGUCUGUAACUGACGCUGAUGUGCGAAAGCGUGGGGAUCAAACAGGAUUAGAUACCCUGGUUAGUCCACGCCGUAACGAUGAGUGCUAGUGUUA